rnacentral:rRNA from 1 species
UACGUAGGGGGCAAGCGUUGUCCGGAUUCAUUGGGCGUAAAGAGCUCGUAGGCGGCUUGGCAAGUCGGGUGUGAAAACUCCAGGCUCAACCUGGAGACGCCACCCGAUACUGCCAUGGCUAGAGUCCGGUAGGGGACCACGGAAUUCCUGGUGUAGCGGUGAAAUGCGCAGAUAUCAGGAGGAACACCCGUGGCGAAGGCGGCUCUCUGGUACGUGACUGACGCUGAGACGCGAAAGCGUGGGGAGCAAACAGG